rnacentral:rRNA from 1 species
CGCAUCUGUGCAUGCAGCAUAUCAAUAAGCGGAGGAAAAAGAAACUAACAAGGAUUCCCUUAGUAACGGCGAGUGAAGCGGGAAGAGCUCAAAUUUGAAAUCUUCAAGGUUUUACCUUGACGAAUUGUAGUUUAAAGAAGUGUUUUCUGCUGAAGUUUUGGUAAAAGUUCUUUGGAAUAGGACAUCAUAGAGGGUGAGAAUCCCGUAUUUGACCAUUAUUUUCAGCUUUGUGAUACACUUUCAAAGAGUCGGAUUGUUUGGGAAUGCAGUCCAAAAUGGGUGGUAAAUUUCAUCUAAAGCUAAAUAUUGGCGAGAGACCGAUAGCGAACAAGUACCGUGAGGGAAAGAUGAAAAGAACUUUGAAAAGAGAGUUAAACAGUACGUGAAAUUGUCAAAAGGGAAGCGUUUGACACCAGUGUUGUUUUCUCGAAAAUCAAUUAAAAAUGAGUUUGAUUUUGUAUGUGUAUUGACCUUAACAGCUUGCACUGUACAUUUUUCGUGUCUUUUUUAAUGCACUUUUCGUUUAACAAGUCAACAUCAGUUUCUUUUGUUGUAAGAAGGUCAUUGGAAGGUGGCUUUCUUUUCGGAGAAAGUGUUUAUAGCCUUUGACUCCUGCAAUCGAAGAGACUGAGGUCUGCAGCGUAGAUCCUUCGGGGUUAGAUACAUUUGUGCUAAGUUAUAGCUUUUUAUAGACAACUUGUUGACUAUAAUUAGUCUUGUAGCUUACUCGCUUAUGCUAUUUUACCUACGCUUAGGAUGUUGAAGAUAUGCGCGACACG